UUUCUGGGAAGAGAGAAAAAAAAGAAGGGGAGGGAAGCCCCUGUCGGCUAGAAGCUAAAUGAACAAGAGCAAAAACAUAUUUUAGUGCCUCAGGAUGUUCUGUAUUCCAACUACUAGUACAUUAAGAAAAGAUAACACAUUUUGAAAAAAGAUCCAUCUUGUAGUCAAGUUUAGUUACUUGGAGAUGAAAAAUUGGAAUAAAUGUGAAGAACACGGUCUUGGGACAGAACAAGCAGCAGAGAAGAGACAGUUCAGAAAUGAGGGCAAAAACCUGCACUAGUUUCCUUGCUGGGCUUGCAUCUGGAGUCACUAUGCCUUUUUCACCUUCUGAUUGGUUGGAUUCCAAUUAAAUGGUGGUGCCUAUCUUAACCCCUGAAUCAAGCACUGGAAGACCUUUGAGAUGGACUUUUGAAAAAGUUUUUGAGGAAAUUAUACUGCUGGCUGUACUGACCUGCAGAAGAUGGUGCAACUGGGUCUGAAAGGUGGAUACUGCUGCCUCCGGACAACUGCCAAAGCAAGAAUAUGACCAUGAAGCAAAGAGAAGCAUAUCACACAGGGAAAGCUAAGACUCAGACGGGGACUGUUUCCUUCUGCUGUAAGGGGAUACUCACUCCUGUACACUGAGCUACUAGGAGAACUGCACAGUCAGCCACUGCUGAAACAGGAGGUGGUGUUAAUUCUGAAAGUGAUCCAUGCUGUAAUGUCAUGAACCAGGAAGUUGGAAUCCUUUACCAGCUCUUUAUGCAAAUAUUUGGCUGCAGCUUGAGCUGAAGGACUUGGAAGGAGCAGGUUUUAAAAAAAUCUGUUUCAUUGUAGAGCUCUCUUUAGCCCCAUUUCUCCCCUGGAUUGGCCUGUUUGCCUGCCUCCCUGUUAUCCAGUUGUUAUCUCCCCCAGGCGUUUCCCGGCGGCGACGGAGCCUCCGGGGAGAGUCCGCGCAGCGCGAGCUCGGGAAAAGCCGUCCGGAGGCUUCCAAGGACGGCGCAAUCGCUGGGAGGAAGGCCUUCGGAAGGAGCCGCCCCUGAGCCGGCUGGGCCAGGUGGAUUGCCCCGGAGAGUCGAAAUGGCCAAGUGCGCGCCGCAGGGGUCUGCCGGAGGGGCCCCAGCGCGCCAGGAGCAGGGAAAGCCACGGCCCUGCAGAGCCGCAGAAAAGCUGUGGAAAUACACCGGGAUCGAAAUGCCCCUGGCCCGCAUGACCCGACCCCCAGAGAAGCAGCCGAAUUACCGGACAUCGUGGUCAGCAGGAACUGGGUCGCAGGCUGGAUGCUGCAGCUGCAGGGACUCUGCGCCUAGGAGGGCUCCUGUGCAGGGAGAAAGGCAGAGAUGCGACAUUUUUAAAGUUUCACAAAGCAUCUGGCUGCACCCAGGUCCCUGGAGCAGGAGACACACAGAAUUAAUGUUUUAUACCUUCGGGUAUAGGUUUGAGUUUUUCCCCCCUCAUGCCAAGUAUUUAAAACCUCUAGAAACCCAUGAUUUGACAAUCAAUGAUUGCGCGAUACUUUCAAUUUGAAUAUUCAAAGGCUUAACAAAAUGGACUAUCUUCUGCAGAAAUCCUGCACACAGGCACCCCAUAGGGAGUCCAGAGAAACAGGGAGUGAGACCCCUUUGGGUCCUGACCCUUCCUUUUAUUGUAUUUUGAGCAUUUUGUCCACCUUCCCACAAACAGAGCAGGUGUCCUCAAAGAUGCUCUGUAUUUCUGCCUCAAAAAUAGCUCAGAAGCCCAGAGUGACUUAGGUUGCUCCUCACGACCACCUGAGCCAGGCUGGCUAGCCAGACUGAUUUCCUCAUGCCCAAUCUCCAUUUAAGGGGAAAUUUCAGGUUUUGGGGAGUGAACAUGGCAGGCAGUGGGUGUGGCCCAGCAAGGGGUCACUCUGGGCCCAGAUUGCAGGCCAGGGGAUAGCAGAGGCCUUAUCUCUGCACUUUGUGUCUUUCUGGCUUCACCCAGCCACGUGUGGGUUUCCUUUCCCUUUUCAUCCUUCUCCCUUACUGGGUCCCAAACACUGAGGUUUCAGCACUGAAUUCCCUGCCCAUUAAGACCUUUUGAUCCUUCCCACAUAUUUGGGGAUGCCUGUGGGCUUUACCCACCAGCAGUUUUCUAAGGCUGGUGUUUCAUCACAGCAUUGUGAGGUCCUCUCUUCUGCUCUUGUCUUUCUCCCUCUAGAGCCACUCCUGCUUUCUAGCUGUAGACGCACCUGUGAGAAAAUGGUGACAAGCUGGAUGUCUGUGCAUUUUAGCUGGAAAGACAUGAUUUGUUUUUCAAAACUUCUUACUUUGGGAUUUGAAGUCAGGCUGCACCGUUGGUCCAGUCUGAGCCCCUCACAAAUGACUUAAGACUGUGCUAAUUAGCUCAUAUUCUCCAAGUACUGACGGUGCCUCUUCCCUAUUAUUUGGAAGAUGGAAGAGAUGGGAUUGGGCCAGAGAGGGAGUGAUUGCCAGGCCAAAUCCUCUUGUAGCAACACUAGGAGACAGGGGUUCCCUUUACAAAUAACCAGGAUAAUUCCCAGGAUGUCAGAUCAGGUGAUGGUUAUAGGCCUCUGUUCUUCUAUCAUGCUUGAGUUCUCUGGGGUGAGGGACUACAGUUAGCUCCAAAAGCCUUCAGAAAAAUAUCUGAAUGUACUCAAUUGUGUCAGAUACAAGUGCAUCAUAUAGAACUCAAGGAAAGGGCAUCUCUGAAAAUGAUAAGACUGAUUUCUUGACAGCUGGAGCCAUAUCACUGGGGAAGAGGAUCAGGGAUGGGGACUCCUGAGGUGACUCCUGGCAAUAGAAGGCAGGAUGGAGAGGGUUUGUCUCAAAUCCACUUGGAGUUUAUCAGUGUUUGGAGCUUAUUUCUCCAAAAACCCCAGGCCUGUGUCCUGGGUUUCUCUGAUAGAAACCAGGCUUGAAGACCAGAUAUGAGGAAGAGAAGGGCAAUGGGAAAAGAGAAAGCCCCUAUUCCUGCAUUGUCCUGUCAUCUGCCAUCCCAGGGCACUGCUUGGAAUUAGGGAUGGUUUCUUGUCCUCAUCGCUUCUUCCAUUAUUUUAUCUUCUGCUUAUUUUUCAGUUUUUUUUUUAAACCUUUUUUUCCUCUGUCUCUUCCUGUUACCACUUUCCUCCAUUUUUUGCCUGUACUACUCUCUUUCUUUCUGAUUCCCUACACACCUCUCUUUCCCCAUGUUCUGGGGUACUGUCCCAUAUUUUCAUGCUUAAUCUCCUUCCUAACCUUUCCUUUACAUGUAGAGAUGGACAGAGAUGGCUAGAGGCCAUUCUACUCCCUUGGUAACAUUAUGGAGGUUCAUGCUGGUGAUAGGCUACUCAUUAGAGAAGGCGUGUGAGACUGGGUGAAGGGGGCUCCUUGGAAGUCAUGGGGCCUGUAGGGAGAGCAAAGAACUCUCUUUUCCUUCUUCCAGAGCCUCUGUCUGAGCCAUGGCAGCAGUCGUGGGACUUUUGUGUUGGCCCCUGUUGCUGGGAUGAACAUCAAGUUGCUGGUCAAUAACCUUGGAAAACUAGAUUUCCCCACAUGCCUGUGCCCUGUUUGAGGAAGAACUCCUUCCCCACACUCUAUUCUUGUUGUUAACUCAACAUUAAGGAGUUUUAGUUUCUGUUCUUUCUGUAACUGCAAAAGUCCAGCACAAGUAUUUAAUAGUCAAACACCAUGCUUGUGCAAGUAGGGGACAGUCCUUUCUAAAUGGAUCCUGCGACCCUCCUUAUAAAUCUGCAUGUGAUGACACCUGAGCAACCAACCGUUUCUACACUGGGAACCCCAGACACCAUAAAAAUGGGUAAUCCUCAUAGACUCUUUAAAAUUCUUAUCUGUUGUUUGUUGAUGUCAUGCACUGCGUUGUAUGGUUCCUCUAUUUUUUAUAGUUGAGGAAACAGGCUUGCCAAGAAGAUUGAGCACAUCAGUGGCAGAAUUGGGAUUCAUACUUUGAUAAGUCUAAUUCCAGAGGCCUUGGUGUUAACUACAGUUGUCGUCUUUCUGAUCUGUUAUAAUAGAAGCUCUUAAACAUUUUGGACUUCAGCCCACAAGAAAUUUACACAUAUCUGCAACAAUAUCUACAUUUAUAAAACGAACUGUCCAUGAAACAAUGUAUAUCUGUGCAUGUGAGGCACCCUGAUAUUUUCUAUUAUAUUCCAGUUUUCCCAUUUCAUUCUGUUUGUGAGAAACAGAUGUUGGUUGGGAGCCACUAAGUUAAUUUAAUGUUACCCCUCAUGAGUUGUAAGUAGCAUUGAAAAGUUCCACUCUUAAGAUUUGCACACACAUCUCUGUGUUGUGCAUGUGGGAGUGUUUUGGUGUGCUGUUUACUUGCACAAGGAGUCAAAGAUGGCACAGCAUAAUGACUUGAGAGUAUUCUGGAAAUGCUGGAACCCUGAAGAAUAGGCUGGCUGGAAAUGAGGAUGAGCUGUUAAUUAUGCUUCCUAACCAUCUGUGCUUCUCAGUCUGGAACUCUUUUGCUGGAAGCAUUAUCACCUCUAGUGUGUCUGCCCUGAAGUCCUGAUAAUCCCUUUGGGGUUUUGAUUAAAAACAAUAAAAACUGAAAAACUGUGGGACUUAACCCACUAUACCAGGCUUAUUGGCUUGAAAAUAUAACAUUGAACUCAAUAUUUGAUGUUAGGAAGGCUCUUAGAAGUAGGAGGGACUUAGUCUUUUUUCAGCAUCUCUGUUGAUAGCUAGUUAGCCUCUGGUUCCAUUGCUUGGCUGAGAGCCUGGCUCAUAGCAGAAUCUGUAUAGAGGAAAUGCGAGCUCAUUAUUUAUAAGGCAGCCUGUUCCAAGAUUGGACUUGGAACAGUCCAAGUCCAAUAUGGUGAUCAGUGAUUGAGCCAUAAUUCAAUUAGGUAUUAAUUGAGCAACACUAUGUACCAGGCAUGAUAUCAAGCACCAGGAAUACAAAGAAAUAAGUCCUGGUUUCUGCUGCCAAUUGCUCUGUUCUCUCACUUCCACAUGAGUGCUUUUCUAUUACGAAUUUGUUUAGUUCAUUCAUUCAUUGAACAACUAUGUGUCAAUUAUCUGUUCUGCCCCUGUCUAGGGCUCAUAUGAGGAAGUUAUCAUGCCCACUCUCCACCCAAGCUUUCUGUUCUUGAGGCCACCUACAGUUUCUCUGGUUCUUCAUAAAUCAGUUUUUCAGGUCUCUGGUUAUCCUUUCCACUGAGCUCAGAAAUCCUUCAGUUUGUCAUUGACCUUCUUAAAGUCAGUCAGUGGUACCCAGAAUGAAUAAAAUAGAUUUGCUUUUGAAGUUUUAAACUGAAUAUUUUAACUGAAAAAUUUUGGUAGUCAUUAGUAUGCAAAUGAAACUACAAAGCAUUAUGUUUUUCCCCCAAAGUAGGAGGUUUUAUUAAGCUUAGGUACAGGCAUAUUAAAAGACUUUCUGUAUAAGGAAAAGGGUAGUUUAUUCCCUCCAAAUUUGACUACAGCUCUAAAUUUUUCUUAUUAAUGCAAAGUUCUUUUGUCACCUUGAGAUUGGACACUGUUACCAAAUCUUGCGGGAAAUAUCAAAUUCCAAAAUAUUGAAUAUAUGGAGGAAACAGGUAAGUAUGAGGCCCUAGAAUGAAUAUUUGGCUCAUAUGAAAAUGACCAGGAAGACUAUUAGACGAAAGCUUUUCAGUGGUUUGUCAAUUGCUUCCCAUAAGACACUUGAAGUUUUAACUUUUUUCCUUUCAAAGUUUCCAGAGGAACAAGUACUUGAUAAUUUAUCCUUUUACAAAAUGACAUCAUAUCAUACACUUCUUAAAAAGUUCAUCUUUUACUUAUAACACUUUGAUUAUGCCAUAUUUGAGACAUACAAAAACAUAUCAAGAAUACUGUGAUGAACCCAUCUGCUAUGUAUAACCAUAGAACUCUAAUAAGAAAAGAAUACUGUGAUGAAAACCUAUGUAUCACCAAGGUUAAGAAACAAAAUGGUUGAGUGCUCUUUUGUUUAUGACUAAAUUGAUUUAUUAAGCAUUGAAAUGUGGAUUAUUCCACUCAAGAUACUUUAUUAGGGGAAAGGUUAGCAGGACCACCUUUCAAUUUUUCCAAAACAAAAGAACUAAUUCCUAGAUACUAUUUUUUUUUUUGGUUCACAUUUUUUUCCCUUUUGGAACAUGUAACAUAUUGUUUUCCUUUUUUCUUCUAAUGUACUGAAAAUUACAUUGCAUAUUGUAAACCUACAUGAUUAUUAGGGAUUAUGGUUUUAGAGGACUUCUGUAUCAAAGAUCAAAUAUAAUGCGGGGUAUCAUCAUUUGCAAAUAACUGUAGAAGGUUUUGUUAUUAUUUAUUCAGUUUGACCCUGGGAGAUUCUAUUUCCUGAUUUAUCAUACUUGUUUUAACAAUGCCAGGGAUAAUAUCAAAAACCAGAUGAUUUUUUUAAUAAGUUUUAUCAAUGUAGUCCAUGCUGAUGCUAAAUGAAUUUUUCCACAUUUUCCUGUGCUGUUUCAAAGGUUCAGUAAUUUCCUUUCUUAAAGAUAUUUUAGAACACUAAAUCAAUUAUCUUAAAUAUGGCACCACUAAAGUCCAAAUCCUAGUGGCUGAAUUUGUAGAACAUGUCUACUGGUGAGAAUUUUCUCAUAUACAGUUUAUAGAGAGCUGUCAUCCACUGAGUCAAGGACUAAACAGUUAUUCAUCUUUGUGAUCUUGGUUUAACUCAAUCGACCACAGAUUUAGUGAGCACCAACAACCUGCAAGGCCCUGAACCAGAUGCUGGAGACUCAGUGGUGAGCCAUUCACGUGUUCUUAAGUUUCUUCAGCUAGUGAAUCACUUUCUUUAGAGUGUAUGGUUUUGCACUUAAUCUCUCUAGAGUCAAUGGGUGGUGAAUAUGGUGUGUGAAAAGAACGGUGCAAUAUAUUUUUUAAUAUAAGGCAUACUUUAGACAGAACCCAGUGAUUGAGCCCAAUGCAUGAAUAUAAUUUUUUGUGUGGUUGAUAGAAUCUCUAUAGUGCAAUGUGACUUAAACCUUGGACAUUUAUUGUUCUUUGGGUACUUUAAAUAUAACUGAUGUUUAAUUCCUUGUGACUCUAUAAUUUAGAUUUACUUUUGGCAAAUGGGUCACAAAGAUACUUUUCUGUGUAUGUACGUAUAUAUCUAUAUGUAAAUAUAGAUUUUACUAUUGGGGUUAUUCUUUUCCCUUUGUGGAAUUUCUUUUGGAGCACUUCAUUCUUCUUCCUCUACCACAAUAGUACCAUGACAUUGUAUUAUUAACUGAGCUGUGGCAGGUCAUAAUGAUCAUUUUAAAUUAUUUAUUGAAUAAACAAGGUAAAGAUGUG